AAAUUAUUUUAUGGUCACAAUUCAAAAAUUUUAUAGGUCACAAUUUGAUCAUCGGCCACAAUUCAAAAGUUUAUAAGUCACGAUUUAUUUAUUGGUCACAAAUCACAAACGUAAUAACUCACAACUUAUUAUACAAUUACAAAUUAUCAAAUUAUCGAUCACAAAUUAACAAUUUUUUAAGUCACGCAUAAUUUUUUGAUCACAAGCACUCUUCAUCCCAUCCCGUUACUGUCAUCGCCACAACCACUACCAACAAUAACAACACAACAUCACCACCUCACGAGUAUCACCAUCACCAAUCAAAUUUGAACCUACCAACCCACCACGCACCAUGUCUACACCACAACUAGUCAAACACCACACAUCGACAGUGUCCACCACCAUGCCAACACCACAGCACACGCACCAACCACCACCUUUGCUGCCAAUAACACCACCACCAAAUACAUCGCCGUUGCAUCCCAUCCCACAACUGCCUGUCCCAACCACUCAUUAUCUUCACCU
rnacentral:lncRNA from 1 species